rnacentral:piRNA from 1 species
UGGGAACAAUUUUAAAAGGCACUGUGAGC